AACGAACGCUGGCGGCAUGCCUAACACAUGCAAGUCGAACGAGACCUUCGGGUCUAGUGGCGCACGGGUGCGUAACGCGUGGGAAUCUGCCCUUUGCUUCGGAAUAACAGUUAGAAAUGACUGCUAAUACCGGAUGAUGUCUUCGGACCAAAGAUUUAUCGGCAAAGGAUGAGCCCGCGUAGGAUUAGGUAGUUGGUGGGGUAAAGGCCUACCAAGCCGACGAUCCUUAGCUGGUCCGAGAGGAUGAUCAGCCACACUGGGACUGAGACACGGCCCAGACUCCUACGGGAGGCAGCAGUGGGGGAAUAUUGGACAAUGGGCGCAAGCCUGAUCCAGCAAUGCCG
rnacentral:rRNA from 1 species